rnacentral:misc_RNA from 1 species
UAGGUGAACCUGCGGAAGGAUCAUUGUCGAAACCUGCCUAGCAGAACGACCCGUGAACGUGUUCAGAAAAAACCGAACGAUUUGGUCGGGGGGAGGCGCGGGCCCCCGCCCCGGGCGGUCCCGCGUUCCCCCCCGACAUAACAACGAACCCCGGCGCUACCUGCGCCAAGGAACUGCAACGGAGAGAUCGGUCACGAUCUCUUGCUCUGAGAUCCAAAACGACUCUCGGCAACGGAUAUCUCGGCUCUCGCAUCGAUGAAGAACGUAGCGAAAUGCGAUACUUGGUGUGAAUUGCAGAAUCCCGUGAACCAUCGAGUCUUUGAACGCAAGUUGCGCCCUAAGCCRUUAGGCCGAGGGCACGUCUGCCUGGGUGUCACGCAUCGUCGCCCCCUCCCCAAAACCCCUCGCCUCGCGGGGCGGUGCCCGAGGGGAGGGGGGCGGAUACUGGCCUCCCGUGCGCUUCGCCGCCCGCGGUUGGCCCAAAAUCGAGUCCCCGCGGCGUGGAGCGCCGUGACAAACGGUGGUUGGCCUGAUCCAAAGACCUCGAUACACCGUCACGCGCGCCCGUCGCCGCCGAGGUGGUGCUCCACCGACCCUAACCCUUCGCAUCGCGACCCCAGGUCAGGCGGGACUACCCGCUGAGUUUAAGCAUAUCA